GGGUGAUCGGGCACAUUGGGACUGAGACGGGGCCCAGACGCCUACGGGAAGCAGCAGUGGCCGAAUAUUGCACAAUGGGGGAAACCCUGAUGCAGCAACGCCGCCGCGUGAGUGAUGACGGCCUUCGGGUUGUAAAGCUCUGUCCUCAGGGACGA
rnacentral:rRNA from 1 species